rfam:TPA: Bos taurus chromosome 4, whole genome shotgun sequence.
UCCCUGGGGGUCCAGUGGUUGGGACUCUGUGCUUCCAAUGCAGGGACACGGGUUGGAUCCCUGGUCAGGGAA